AAAUUGAAGAGUUUGAUCAUGGCUCAGAUUGAACGCUGGCGGCAGGCCUAACACAUGCAAGUCGAACGGUAACAGGAAGCAGCUUGCUGCUUCGCUGACGAGUGGCGGACGGGUGAGUAAUGUCUGGGAAACUGCCUGAUGGAGGGGGAUAACUACUGGAAACGGUAGCUAAUACCGCAUAACGUCGCAAGACCAAAGAGGGGGACCUUCGGGCCUCUUGCCAUCGGAUGUGCCCAGAUGGGAUUAGCUAGUAGGUGGGGUAACGGCUCACCUAGGCGACGAUCCCUAGCUGGUCUGAGAGGAUGACCAGCCACACUGGAACUGAGACACGGUCCAGACUCCUACGGGAGGCAGCAGUGGGGAAUAUUGCACAAUGGGCGCAAGCCUGAUGCAGCCAUGCCGCGUGUAUGAAGAAGGCCUUCGGGUUGUAAAGUACUUUCAGCGGGGAGGAAGGCGAUAAGGUUAAUAACCUUGUCGAUUGACGUUACCCGCAGAAGAAGCACCGGCUAACUCCGUGCCAGCAGCCGCGGUAAUACGGAGGGUGCAAGCGUUAAUCGGAAUUACUGGGCGUAAAGCGCACGCAGGCGGUCUGUCAAGUCGGAUGUGAAAUCCCCGGGCUCAACCUCGGGAACUGCAUUCGAAACUGGCAGGCUAGAGUCUUGUAGAGGGGGGUAGAAUUCCGGUGUAGCGGUGAAAUGCGUAGAGAUCUGGAGGAAUACCGGUGGCGAAGGCGGCCCCCCUGGACAAAGACUGACGCUCAGGUGCGAAAGCGUGGGGAGCAAACAGGAUUAGAUACCCUCGGUAGUCCACGCCGUAAACGAUGUCGACUUGGAGGUUGUGCCCUUGAGGCGUGGCUUCCGGAGCUAACGCGUUAAGUCGACCGCACCGGGGAGUACGGCCGCAAGGUUAAAACUCAAAUGAAUUGACGGGGGCCCGCACAAGCGGUGGAGCAUGUGGUUUAAUUCGAUGCAACGCGAAGAACCUUACCUACUCUUGACAUCCAGAGAACUUUCCAGAGAUGGAUUGGUGCCUUCGGGAACUCUGAGACAGGUGCUGCAUGGCUGUCGUCAGCUCGUGUUGUGAAAUGUUGGGUUAAGUCCCGCAACGAGCGCAACCCUUAUCCUUUGUUGCCAGCGGUCCGGCCGGGAACUCAAAGGAGACUGCCAGUGAUAAACUGGAGGAAGGUGGGGAUGACGUCAAGUCAUCAUGGCCCUUACGAGUAGGGCUACACACGUGCUACAAUGGCGCAUACAAAGAGAAGCGACCUCGCGAGAGCAAGCGGACCUCAUAAAGUGCGUCGUAGUCCGGAUUGGAGUCUGCAACUCGACUCCAUGAAGUCGGAAUCGCUAGUAAUCGUGGAUCAGAAUGCCACGGUGAAUACGUUCCCGGGCCUUGUACACACCGCCCGUCACACCAUGGGAGUGGGUUGCAAAAGAAGUAGGUAGCUUAACCUUCGGGAGGGCGCUUACCACUUUGUGAUUCAUGACUGGGGUGAAGUCGUAACAAGGUAACCGUAGGGGGAACCUGCGGUUGGAUCACCUCCUUA
rnacentral:rRNA from 1 species